rnacentral:misc_RNA from 1 species
ACACUUCAGAUAAGGAUUCCUAACAAAUGUCCAUUUCUAAAGUAGGUUUGAACUUCCAAGGGCAGUACACCAAUGUUUCCUAAGAUGAAGUCAUUACUAGCAAAUGCCCGAAAGCAAUAAAACUGGUGAAACAAAUGGAUGACCUAGAUUGAGUGGAACAGAAUUCUGAUCCUAAAUAAUGAAGUUUGUUACAUAAUGACUCACCAGAACUUUCUGCAUUUCCAACUAAACAAAAAUGAAAAUUUCCAAAGCAACUCCCACGAUUAAGAAGAAUGAAAAAGUGAAUGGCUCAAAUCUCUCAUCAUAUUGACGAUAAAUAUAUAUAUAUAUAUAUA